AGUAAAGUCAGCUAAUUAAGCUUUCGGGCCCAUACCCCGACAAUGUUGGUACACAAUCCUUCCUAUACUA
rnacentral:tRNA from 3 species